AACCGCCGUAUACCGAACGGUACGUACGGUGGUGUGAGAGGACAGGUGGCCAACUAAUGGCCACCUUCCUACUCGAU
rnacentral:ncRNA from 1 species